rnacentral:rRNA from 1 species
AACGAACGCUGGCGGCAGGCCUAACACAUGCAAGUCGAACGCCCUAGCAAUAGGGAGUGGCAGACGGGUGAGUAACACGUGGGAACCUUCCCUAUAGUACGGAAUAUACCAGGGAAACUUGGAGCAAUACCGUAUACGCCCGAGAGGGGAAAGAUUUAUCGCUAUAGGAUGGGCCCGCGUAGGAUUAGCUAGUUGGUGAGGUAAUGGCUCACCAAGGCGACGAUCCUUAGCUGGUUUGAGAGAACGACCAGCCACACUGGGACUGAGACACGGCCCAGACUCCUACGGGAGGCAGCAGUGGGGAAUAUUGGACAAUGGGCGGCAAGCCUGAUCCAGCCAUGCCGCGUGAGUGAUGAAGGCCUUAGGGUUGUAAAAGCUCUUUUUGCCGGGGACGAUAAUGACGGUACCCGGAGAAUAAGUCCCGGCUAACUUCGUGCCAGCCGCCGCCGUAA